UACGGUGGGUGCAAGCGUUGUUCGGAAUUACUGGGCGUAAAGGGCUCGUAGGUGGCCAACUAAGUCAGACGUGAAAUCCCCAGGCUCAACCUGGGAACUGCGUCUGAUACUGGAUGGCUUGAAUUCGGGAGAGGGAUGCAGAAUUCCAGGUGUAGCGGUGAAAUGCGUAGAUAUCUGGAGGAAUACCGGUGGCGAAGGCGGCAUCCUGGACCGAUAUUGACACUGAUGAGCGAAAGCCAGGGGAGCAAACGGG
rnacentral:rRNA from 1 species